GACGAACGCUGGCGGCGUGCCUAAUACAUGCAAGUUGAGCGAUGAAGCUUGGUGCUUGCACCAAUUUGAAGAGCAGCGAACGGGUGAGUAACGCGUGGGGAAUCUGCCUUUGAGCGGGGGACAACAUUUGGAAACGAAUGCUAAUACCGCAUAACAACUUUAAACAUAAGUUUUAAGUUUGAAAGAUGCAAUUGCAUCACUCAAAGAUGAUCCCGCGUUGUAUUAGCUAGUUGGUGAGGUAAAGGCUCACCAAGGCGAUGAUACAUAGCCGACCUGAGAGGGGGAUCGGCCACAUUGGGACUGGGACACGGCCCAAGACUCUAAGGGAGGGAGCAGGAGGGGAACUUCGGGAAAGGACGAAAGGCUGACCGAGGAACGCCGCGGGAGUGAAGAAGGGUUUCGGGUCGUAAAAAUCUGUUGGUAGGGAAGAACGUUGGUGGGGGUGGAAAGCGCAUGAAGUGAUGGUAACUACUCAGAAAGGGACGGCUAACUACGUG
rnacentral:rRNA from 1 species